rnacentral:misc_RNA from 1 species
UGGCUCUCGCAUCGAUGAAGAACGCAGCGAAAUGCGAUAAGUAAUGUGAAUUGCAGAAUUCAGUGAAUCAUCGAAUCUUUGAACGCAUCUUGCGCCCCUUGGUACUCCGAGGGGCAUGCCUGUUUGAGUGUCAUCUGAACCAUCAAGCUUACCAUGGCUGCUCUGUCUUUGGUUAGGCUUGGACUUUGGAGCGUGCGGCGAGAUUAUCUGGCUUUGCCGGGAAAGUCUUUCCGCUCCUCUCGAAAUGUAUCAGCGAGCCAAGCUGGUUCUCGUGUCGCGGCGUGAUAAGUCAUCGACGUCGCCUGAGUAAUCCAGUGCAGGCUCGCUCUCUCAGUCGUUGGCCGCCAGCGGAACAACGUCUCUGACGAUUCGACCUCAAAUCAGGUAGGACUACCCGCUGA